UGUUCUUAUUUUCAUUUAAGAAGUAAGCUGUGAUUGUGAGGAAAUUUUUCCGUCAACGAAACCCAGUGCUUUGUCAAAAAUUAUAUACGACUGUAACAAUGAUUAAAACUUGUUGGUCCAAUAGAACUCCCUUUGAAACAAUCCUCAUCUUAAUAUUGAUGGUAGCAGUGCCGUUCUUUGUGACGAUGAUCAUUCUUUACUUAUCAUUCAUUGGAUCUUACCCUUCAGAAAGUUGUUUUAAGAUGUGUAAAAUGUUAUCAUUCUUGCUUGAAGAAGAUUAUAAUAAGCCAAAAGAAUGGGCAAACGAAAAAGAGAAGAAAGAAAGGUGGGUGGUUGGUCCUGAAAAUUUUACAGGAGAAGGUGGAGUAUUUAAACAAAAUAGACGACGUCGGGAACCAAGUUAUGAGAUAUUAAAAUCUAUAUUACAAUUAACCCAAGGAGAGAAAAACAAAUCCCUGAGUGCUGACAGAAAUCAUCAUGAUUUUCCAGUAGCAGCUCUACUGGAAAAAAUACAUUGUGACAAUGCUGACGAAGAACUAUUUAAAUGCACUAUCGCUAAACUUUCAUCAAACUGGGCACUGACAACCAAUAAUUGUUUUAAAUACGAAACCGAUAAAUGGAACUUGUUAUCAAUUCGAAGCAACUCCUAUUACUGGUCGAAGGGUGGCAACAUUAAAAAAAUACAAAAUGUGUUCUGGUAUAAAAAUCUGGUGGCAAUCAGGUUAAAAUCUGGUCAUCCAGCCACAAAAGUUAUUUACAUUACAAACACAUCGGAUAGUGUACAAACAUUUUAUUGGGUUUUUAAUUUACAACUUCCGUUGCAAAAAAGGUUAAAAUUUGAUCAACUACAAAUCACAAGCAUUUUGCCAAAGAAAACACAUGACGUGCCCAUGUUUGAUUGCAACCGGAAUCUGAUUGGUUUUCAGUCGUAUCCGUUUACUAACGAAAACUUAAGUGAGUAUCGUUCUUGGUUGGAAAAGCUGGGAGCGUUUGCGUAAUUUGUUUUAAAUAUGUUUUUGAUAAUAAAAAAAAACUUAAUUUUAUAUUAUUAUGUUGGUUGUUAAACUUAACAAAAAUAGUGUGUAAUGUUUUGGAACUGAUUAUUUAAAAAAUUCAUCCGCUAGUCUACCAGAAGAAAGAAAUCGAUCGAGAAGAAUAAAAAUAUCUCGUAUUUGUUUUACUACUUUUGUCCGAUUUUUUAUUGGAAUUACAGUUUAUGUUGUUUUUAUUAAAGUAUACACCUACGUUUUGUAAA